rnacentral:rRNA from 1 species
GCUUCCGAAUCUGAACAGGUGCUGCAUGGCUGUCGUCAGCUCGUGUCGUGAGAUGUUGGGUUAAGUCCCGCAACGAGCGCAACCCUUGUCCUUAUUUGCCAGCGGUUAAUGUGGGAAACCUAAAGGAGAUUGCCGGUGUCCAACCGAAGAAAGGUGGGAACAACUUAAUUCAUCAUGGCCCUUACGGUUUGGGCUACAAACGUGCUACAAUGGGAAGAACAAAGGGCUGCACACCAGCGAUGGUAACCGAAUCCAUUGAAGCUUCUCGUACUCCGGAUUGG